rnacentral:rRNA from 1 species
UACAGAGGUCUCAAGCGUUGUUCGGAUUCACUGGGCGUAAAGCGUGCGUAGGCGGUUCGCUAAGUCGGUUGUGAAAUCCCUGGGCUUAACCUGGGAACUGCAGUCGAUACUGGCGGACUAGAGUACGGUAGAGGGUGGCGGAACUCCGGGUGUAGCGGUGAAAUGCGUAGAUAUCCGGAAGAACACCGAUGGCGAAGGCAACCACCUGGGCCUGUACUGACGCUGAGGUACGAAAGCGUGGGGAGCAAACAGG